UCUUGAAUGGUUAGAUCUCUCUUCAAACAUGCUUGUUGGUGAGAUUCCUGGGCCAUUGACAGAUUUGACAACACUUGAAAAUUCAACGUUGCGGAAAACCAACUUGUGGGGCCCAUAGCUCAUGGCAACACAAUGUUGCGGAAAAGUUCAAUGAGAGAUUGGACUAAAGGCCUAAGGCCUAUCAAAUGCUUAAGAGUGGAGACGGAAAGUGAAAAGACAAGUAAAACCAUAAAGAAUUAAUGAGAGCGUGAAGAAGGGGGCAAAAGUCAAGAACGAUCUUGAUGGUCAAUUUCUGAAUACUCGUUCCGGCUUCUUCAAUACGCAAAUUCGAAUCAUAUUUGGACCACUUGAUUAGUACAUGUUGCAGGACACCCAACUAUGUGAAAAGACAAGCAAAACCAUGGAGAAGCAGAUGAGAAGAAUUAAUGAAAGCGUGAAGAAGGGGGCAAAAGUCACUGAUGACUACUAGUGAAGACAAGAACGAUUUUGAUGGUCAAUUAUAAACUCAGAUUUGCAAGUCAAUGAAAAUUAAGGUGCCCAUUUUAACACGCAUAAAUGCCUACAUGCAUACUAAGACGAAAGAUGACCAAAUAUCGAAGACAUGGCGCAAAAUUUUUCCAAUUAGAUGAAUAGACGUAGGCCUUCACCCUCAAUAAUGUCACCAACAAUUCAAAUUGGUGCAGCAGCUAACAAUGGACCUACACCUCUGUGACAAUGGGACAACCUUAUUGUCAAACUUUACCAACACCAAAGACAGCCACAAAUCAAAGACUUGGUGCAAAUGUUUUUCAGUUUCUCCAUAAAAUUUGUCCAAUGAAAUGAUUUAGGGAGCCCAUUGUAGAUGCUCUAAUUGUUUGUUAUAAAUUUUUUGCUUUAAUGCUAAAAUAGUUCCUUUGUUUUA